ACAAAUCCUGUGCUGCAGUGCCGCAAGGCGCUGUAGUAUAUUAACUCGGCCAGUGUCGCAAGAUGCUGGCUGACUAAACAUAAAUGUGUGUAGUGUAGACAAUGUGUGUGUGAUUAAAUAGUAGA
rnacentral:misc_RNA from 1 species